rnacentral:rRNA from 1 species
GAUGAACGCUGGCGGCGUGCCUAAUACAUUCAAGUCGAGCGAACAGAUGAGGAGCUUGCUCCUCUGACGUUAGCGGCGGACGGGUGAGUAACACGUGGAUAACCUACCUAUAAGACUGGGAUAACUUCGGGAAACCGGAGCUAAUACCGGAUAAUAUAUUGAACCGCAUGGUUCAAUAGUGAAAGACGGUUUUGCUGUCACUUAUAGAUGGAUCCGCGCCGCAUUAGCUAGUUGGUAAGGUAACGGCUUACCAAGGCAACGAUGCAUAGCCGACCUGAGAGGGUGAUCGGCCACACUGGAACUGAGACACGGUCCAGACUCCUACGGGAGGCAGCAGUAGGGAAUCUUCCGCAAUGGGCGAAAGCCUGACGGAGCAACGCCGCGUGAGUGAUGAAGGUCUUCGGAUCGUAAAACUCUGUUAUUAGGGAAGAACAAAUGUGUAAGUAACUAUGCACGUCUUGACGGUACCUAAUCAGAAAGCCACGGCUAACUACGUG